AUUGAACGCUGGCGGCAGGCUUAACACAUGCAAUUCGAACGAGUGUCGGACUGGUGAGUAAUGCUUGGGCAUCUAGCUUAUGGAGGUGGAUAUCUACGGGCAACUGUAGCUAAUACCGCGUACCAUCGGAUGAGCCCAAGUGGGAUUAGGUAGUUGGUGAGGUAAAGGCUCACCAAGCCGACGAUCUCUAGCUGGUCUGAGAGGAUGACCAGCCAAACUGGGACUGAGACACGGCCCAGACUCGUACGGGAGGCAGAAGGGGGGAAUAUUGCGCAAUGGGGGCAACCUGACGCAGCCAUGCCGCGGGAAUGAAGAAGGCCUUCGGGUUGUAAAGUUCUUUCGGUAGCGAUGCGUUAACUACAGAAGAAGCACCGGCUAACUCCGUGCCAGCAGCCGCGGUAAUUU
rnacentral:rRNA from 1 species